ACAGAGGUCCCAAGCGUUGUUCGGAUUCACUGGGCGUAAAGGGUGCGUAGGUGGCCAGGUAAGUCUGAUGUGAAAUCUCGAAGCCUAACUUCGAAACUGCAUCGGAUACUAUCUGGCUGGAGGUCUGGAGGGGGGACUGGAAUUCUCGGUGUAGCAGUGAAAUGCGUAGAUAUCGAGAGGAACGCCAAUGGCGAAGGCUAGUCCCUGGACAGAUCCUGACACUGAGGCACGAAAGCUAGGGGAGCAAACAGGAUUAGAUACCCUGGUAGUCCUAGCCGUAAACGGUGCACGUUUGCUGUGAGAGGAAUCGACCCCUUUCGUGGCGAAGCUAACGCGUUAAACGUGCCGCCUGGGGAGUACGGCCGCAAGGUUA
rnacentral:rRNA from 1 species